AUAAUUUAAUAAAAAUAUUGGUCUUGUAAAUCAAAAAUAAGUAAUACUUUU
rnacentral:tRNA from 1 species